ACCGUGAGGGAAAGGCGAAAAGAACCCCGGCGAGGGGAGUGAAAAAGAACCUGAAACCGUGUACGUACAAGCAGUGGGAGCCUCUUUUAUGGGGUGACUGCGUACCUUUUGUAUAAUGGGUCAGCGACUUAUAUUCUGUAGCAAGGUUAACCGAAUAGGGGAGCCGAAGGGAAACCGAGUCUUAACUGGGCGUUAAGUUGCAGGGUAUAGACCCGAAACCCGGUGAUCUAGCCAUGGGCAGGUUGAAGGUUGGGUAACACUAACUGGAGGACCGAACCGACUAAUGUUGAAAAAUUAGCGGAUGACUUGUGGCUGGGGGUGAAAGGCCAAUCAAACCGGGAGAUAGCUGGUUCUCCCCGAAAGCUAUUUAGGUAGCGCCUCGUGAAUUCAUCUCCGGGGGUAGAGCACUGUUUCGGCAAGGGGGUCAUCCCGACUUACCAACCCGAUGCAAACUGCGAAUACCGGAGAAUGUUAUCACGGGAGACACACGGCGGGUGCUAACGUCCGUCGUGAAGAGGGAAACAACCCAGACCGCCAGCUAAGGUCCCAAAGUCAUGGUUAAGUGGGAAACGAUGUGGGAAGGCCCAGACAGCCAGGAUGUUGGCUUAGAAGCAGCCAUCAUUUAAAGAAAGCGUAAUAGCUCACUGGUCGAGUCGGCCUGCGCGGAAGAUGUAACGGGGCUAAACCAUGCACCGAAGCUGCGGCAGCGACACUAUGUGUUGUUGGGUAGGGGAGCGUUCUGUAAGCCUGUGAAGGUGUGCUGUGAGGCAUGCUGGAGGUAUCAGAAGUGCGAAUGCUGACAUAAGUAACGAUAAAGCGGGUGAAAAGCCCGCUCGCCGGAAGACCAAGGGUUCCUGUCCAACGUUAAUCGGGGCAGGGUGAGUCGACCCCUAAGGCGAGGCCGAAAGGCGUAGUCGAUGGGAAACAGGUUAAUAUUCCUGUACUUGGUGUUACUGCGAAGGGGGGACGGAGAAGGCUAUGUUGGCCGGGCGACGGUUGUCCCGGUUUAAGCGUGUAGGCUGGUUUUCCAGGCAAAUCCGGAAAAUCAAGGCUGAGGCGUGAUGACGAGGCACUACGGUGCUGAAGCAACAAAUGCCCUGCUUCCAGGAAAAGCCUCUAAGCAUCAGGUAACAUCAAAUCGUACCCCAAACCGACACAGGUGGUCAGGUAGAGAAUACCAAGGCGCUUGAGAGAACUCGGGUGAAGGAACUAGGCAAAAUGGUGCCGUAACUUCGGGAGAAGGCACGCUGAUAUGUAGGUGAAGUCCCUCGCGGAUGGAGCUGAAAUCAGUCGAAGAUACCAGCUGGCUGCAACUGUUUAUUAAAAACACAGCACUGUGCAAACACGAAANCGACUUGCUCGUGGAGCUGAAAUCAGUCGAAGAUACCAGCUGGCUGCAACUGUUUAUUAAAAACACAGCACUGUGCAAACACGAAAGUGGACGUAUACGGUGUGACGCCUGCCCGGUGCCGGAAGGUUAAUUGAUGGGGUCAGCGCAAGCGAAGCUCUUGAUCGAAGCCCCGGUAAACGGCGGCCGUAACUAUAACGGUCCUAAGGUAGCGAAAUUCCUUGUCGGGUAAGUUCCGACCUGCACGAAUGGCGUAAUGAUGGCCAGGCUGUCUCCACCCGAGACUCAGUGAAAUUGAACUCGCUGUGAAGAUGCAGUGUACCCGCGGCAAGACGGAAAGACCCCGUGAACCUUUACUAUAGCUUGACACUGAACAUUGAGCCUUGAUGUGUAGGAUAGGUGGGAGGCUUUGAAGUGUGGACGCCAGUCUGCAUGGAGCCGACCUUGAAAUACCACCCUUUAAUGUUUGAUGUUCUAACGUUGACCCGUAAUCCGGGUUGCGGACAGUGUCUGGUGGGUAGUUUGACUGGGGCGGUCUCCUCCUAAAGAGUAACGGAGGAGCACGAAGGUUGGCUAAUCCUGGUCGGACAUCAGGAGGUUAGUGCAAUGGCAUAAGCCAGCUUGACUGCGAGCGUGACGGCGNGGUUAGUGCAAUGGCAUAAGCCAGCUUGACUGCGAGCGUGACGGCGCGAGCAGGUGCGAAAGCAGGUCAUAGUGAUCCGGUGGUUCUGAAUGGAAGGGCCAUCGCUCAACGGAUAAAAGGUACUCCGGGGAUAACAGGCUGAUACCGCCCAAGAGUUCAUAUCGACGGCGG
rnacentral:rRNA from 1 species